rnacentral:rRNA from 1 species
GAUGAACGCUGGCGGCGUGCCUAAUACAUGCAAGUCGAGCGAACAGACGAGGAGCUUGCUCCUCUGACGUUAGCGGCGGACGGGUGAGUAACACGUGGAUAACCUACCUAUAAGACUGGGAUAACUUCGGGAAACCGGAGCUAAUACCGGAUAAUAUAUUGAACCGCAUGGUUCAAUAGUUAAAGACGGUUUUGCUGUCACUUAUAGAUGUAUCCGCGCCGCAUUAGCUAGUUGGUAAGGUAACGGCUUACCAAGGCAACGAUGCGUAGCCGACCUGAGAGGGUGAUCGGCCACACUGGAACUGAGACACGGUCCAGACUCCUACGGGAGGCAGCAGUAGGGAAUCUUCCGCAAUGGGCGAAAGCCUGACGGAGCAACGCCGCGUGAGUGAUGAAGGUCUUCGGAUCGUAAAACUCUGUUAUUAGAGAAGAACAAAUGUGUAAGUAACUAUGCACGUCUUGACGGUACCUAAUCAGAAAGCCACGGCUAACUACGUG